rnacentral:lncRNA from 1 species
CUCUGUGUCUCAGUCCCCUGCGGUGGGAUCAUAAUAUCUACCGCCAAGCAGUGCUCAGAGCAUGAAUGAAUUAUUAUCCUGAACGCCCUCUGAGCUUCUGGGACAAAGGUGCUAUGUUAAUACACAGUAUCCCUCUUCUUCUUCUUCUCAUUAGUAUUAUUCAAACCCAGAUGGCAUUAUUAUUGUUGUUGAUUGACAGCCCCGCAUAGCCCCAUUCACGGGUGUCAGAGAGCCAGGCGGUAGUUAACACAAGCAAAAACCAUGUUUAAAACAAAGCCCAAGGAACACUCCAAUAGUGUGUGCCUUGGGUUGCUAUUAAAGCCAGAGCAGCUGCAUGGCAUCGCGGAGGGACAGGGCAAGGAAAUGCAUCCCAGAGCACAAAGAGGGGAAAGUGGGUCUUGACACUGAUCAUAUAAUCGUGCUGGGCUUUUAUAGACACUGGGAGGCCUCAAACAGAAUAAAUGCUUGAACUUUAUCCACGGUUUACAGGCAGCGGCUGUAAAGGUCUUUGUUGCUGUUGCUGCCAUGUUAAUGACCCAGCUUGGGGCGCUGCCGCGGCCGCCGGCCGCUUCUUCCAAAGAAAACAAAUCAAAGUGGGUAUUCAUCCAUCCAUCUUUUCAUUCAGUCACCAUGAUGGAACCCAUCCUGUGCUACCUUCCAGAAACCAUACAAGCUGUUCUAGAUGCUAAUAAGGUAAGGUCUCUGUCCUGAAGCUGCUCUCUUCCCAGCGUCAGAGACAAACUGGUGCCAUCAUAAGUGCUUGAAGCGUGGGGUGGGUCAGGAACAAGAUCAGGUGAAAGGGAAAUCACUGGGUUAUGAGAUGAGGAGACUGGAGGGCAGGGUGUGGGGUGAGGACCGGCUUGUUAGGAGGCCUUGUCAUCUCUGAAGCAAAAGGCCACCUGGUCUGAGCUAUGCCAGAGGGAGCAAAGAAGGCCGACUAUCUAAAAAGGUGGAAUCAGGAGCGCCUAGGUGGCUCAGUCGGUUAAGUGUCUGACUUCAGCUCAGGUCAUGAUCUCACAGCUUGUGGGUUGGAGUCCCGUAUCGGGACAGCUCAGAGCCUGGAGCCUGCUACUGAUUCUGUGUCUCUCUCUCCCUCU